UACGUAGGGGGCUAGCGUUGUCCGGAAUCAUUGGGCGUAAAGCGCGUGUAGGCGGUCCGGUAAGUCCGCUGUGAAAGUCGGGGGCUCAACCCUCGAAUGCCGGUGGAUACUGUCAGACUAGAGUACGGAAGAGGCGAGUGGAAUUCCUGGUGUAGCGGUGAAAUGCGCAGAUAUCAGGAGGAACACCCAUUGCGAAGGCAGCUCGCUGGGACGUUACUGACGCUGGAGGCGACGAAAGCGUGGGGAGCAAACAGG
rnacentral:rRNA from 1 species